ensembl:snRNA U6 U6 spliceosomal RNA
GUGCUCGCUUCAGCAGCACAUAUACUAAAAUUGGAACGAUACAGAUUGGCCCCUGCGCCAGGAUGACACGCAAAUUCGUGAAGCGUUCCAUAUUAAA